rnacentral:rRNA from 1 species
CUCCCGAAAGGGAGCUUCCGCAAGGACACUCGUAGAGGUGCUGCAUGGCUGUCGUCAGCUCGUGUCGUGAGAUGUUGGGUUAAGUCCCGCAACGAGCGCAACCCUUGUCUUCUGUUGCCAUCAGGUUAUGCUGGGCACUCUGAAGAGACUGCCGGUGAUAAACCGGAGGAAGGUGGGGAUGACGUCAAGUCAGCAUGGCCUUUAUGUCUGGGGCCACACACGUGCUACAAUGGCAGAUACAAACCGUCGCGAGACCGCAAGGUGGAGCUAAUCGGAUAAAGUCUGUCUCAGUUCGGAUUGCAGGCUGCAACUCGCCUGCAUGAAGUUGGAAUCGCUAGUAAUCGCGGAUCAGCACGCCGCGGUGAAUACGUUCCCGGGCCUUGUACACACCGCCCGUCACAUCACGAAAGCCGGUUGUACUAGAAGUCGCCACACUAACCUGCAAGGGAGGGAGGCGCCUAAGGUAUGGUCGGUGAUUGGGGUGAAGUCGUAACAAGGUAGGCGUAGUGCU